UCAUUGGUAAUCCACAUCCAAUGUUAAUAAUCAUCAUGUAACCCAUAUUUAAAAUUCCCAUUAAAACACAUGCAUAGAGUGCAAAUACUUGUAUUUUGAAGGGUUACUUCUUGCCCAAAAUGGCGCUCGCUUCCUUUUAAGGAAGUGCUGCGCACUUCACUCGUCCCUCCUGUCUGCUGUGGCUGCAUGCUGUGAGACGCACUGGAAACAAACUCACAAAAUCUUCUUAUUUUCACACAUUGCAAACAUCAUAAUUAGCCAACCUGUUCUAUUAACUAUCGGGCUGUGCAGGUGUGUUGUUUUGCCCCCGAUUGCUCAGGUCAGGUUUUUUUUCCGGGAAGGAAUACCCGGUGCCCCAAACAACCUGAGCUCCCCAUCCACUUUUACACUCAACUCAACAAAAUGGCGAGCUAAACAACUAUGCAACAAGCAUUUUUUUUCUCCUCUGCUGUGAACCAUUUGGAUUACUUUUGUUUUUUUGAACUGAACUUUUGGACUGACGCAAAAGUUGUUGCAUUUGAACUGAACUGUGGACUGGUUCCGAGAAGGAAGCAGGAUUGUAUCUCGUAUUUCUGUUUUGUGUAUAUUUUAUUUUAUAUUGUGUUAUCUGUGGUAUUUAUGUUCUUGUAUCAAUACAUUUAAUGCAUUCAAAACCGAGAUAA